rnacentral:rRNA from 1 species
AAUGAUCCGGUGAAGUGUUCGGAUCGCGGCGACGUGGGUGGUUCGCCGCCGGCGACGUCGCGAGAAGUCCACUGAACCUUAUCAUUUAGAGGAAGGAGAAGUCGUAACAAGGUUUCCGUAGGUGAACCUGCGGAAGGAUCAUUGUCGAAACCUGCUUUGCAGAACGACCCGUGAACACGUUAAAAAAUAUUAUGUGGAUUGAYGAGGAGCGUGAGCUUUAAAUCAUCCAUUGUCGGGGCAUGGGAUCGACCAUGGUUGAUCGUAUGCUCUCGUACAAACACAAAACCCGGCGCAAUUGGCGUCAAGGAAAUCUUAACGGAAACAGAGUGUURCCCAUUUAUAGUGGGUGAUGCUACGAAUCCGAUACUUAAACGACUCUCGGCAACGGAUAUCUCGGCUCUUGCAUCGAUGAAGAACGUAGCGAAAUGCGAUACUUGGUGUGAAUUGCAGAAUCCCGUGAACCAUCGAGUCUUUGAACGCAAGUUGCGCCCGAGGCCAUUUAGGUUGAGGGCACGUCUGCCUGGGCGUCACACAUAGCGUCGUUCCCAACCAAUUUUAUUAAUUGGGGAACGGAAAUUGGCCCCCCGAGUCCUUUUGGGCACGGUUGGCUCAAAUAUUGGUCCUCGACGGCAAGUGUCGCGGUCUGCGGUGGUUGUAAACUCAUCCCCUAAGACAAAAUAAGACGCGUAGCCUUGUCGUCUAACGGACCAACAUAACCCUUGGAAGCCGUUCAACGGUGUUCACCCUGCGACCCCAGUCA